CAUGAACCCUCACCAGCCUAACUUCAUGACCUCAGGCACUUUUGCCUGCUUGAAAGGUGUCCUAGAACUGUGAUACUGACUCCUGCAUCCCUGGAUGGAGGAUAGAGAGAAGUAUGUGACUGUGUAGAAACUAGCCUACCAUAGGUAAAGGUAAAGGGACCCCUGACUUUUAGGUCCAGUCGUGACCGACUCUAGGGUUGUGGCGCUCAUCUCGCUUUAUUGGCCGAGGGAGCCGGCGUACAGCUUCUGGGUCAUGUGGCCACCAUGACUAAGCCGCUUCUGGUGAACCAGAGCAGUGCACGGAAAUGCUGUUUACCUUCCCGCCGGAGCGGUACCUAUUUAUCUAUUUGCACUUGACGUGCUUUCAAACUGCUAGGAUGGCAGGAGCAGGGACCAAGCAACAGGAGCUCACCCCGUCACAGGGAUUCAAACCGCCGACCUUCUGAUCAGCAAGUCCUAGGCUCUGUGGUUUAACCCACGGCACCACCCAUGUCCCUAGCCUACCAUACAUAGGUAGAAAUUACAUUAAUUGUCCCACCCACUUUUGUUUCCAGCCCUGCUCGCUACUGGCAUGUGCACUCUCCCACCAAUGGAUCUUUGGCUGAAAAAAAAAUUCCCCAACUGUUUUAUGGUUACAAAUCACAGAGUAACCUGAGGCCAAACAGCAACAACCUACACCACUGAAGACAGGUUGUGCAAAAGAGCUGUAGAGGUAAAUGGGAGGAAAGGCAGGUGCAAGAGGAGCAAAGUGUGUUUCAGACUUGGUUAUAUCAGGGGAGAGCUGGCUUGGAAGGAAGCACUAUGGCAGCCCUGUCAUCUAGAGAGGUGGCAUUACAAGGUGUGGCUGAAGAGGAUCCAGCAGAUGAAGACAAGUUGGGGGCAAAAAAAAUUAGGACAUGACUGGAUCUUCUUCGGAAAUGUCAUGUGCCAAAGGAUUAAUCUCUCUCAGCCAGCCAAUAUUGCUCCCAGGGGUGCAAGGCUUGGGUUUACUGCCCCCAGCUAUUCACAUCUCACAGAAACACCAGAAUGGAAUGGAAAUCUACACCAGAGAUACAAACCUCCAGUAUUAGAAAGCAAGCCUCAAAGUAGACCAGGCCAUGGAAAUAUGUGGACAGGAUAGUGCC